rnacentral:rRNA from 1 species
UGCGUAGGUGGCGAGGUAAGUUUGAUGUGAAAUCUCCGAGCUCAACUCGGAAACGGCAUUGAAUACUAUCCCGCUUGAGGGUCGGAGGGGAGACUGGAAUUCUCGGUGUAGCAGUGAAAUGCGUAGAUAUCGAGAGGAACACCAGUGGCGAAGGCGAGUCUCUGGACGACUCCUGACACUGAGGCAAAGCUGGGGGAGCAAACA